rnacentral:rRNA from 1 species
UACGGAGGGUGCAAGCGUUAUCCGGAUUUACUGGGUUUAAAGGGCGCGUAGGCGGACAGGUAAGUCCGUGGUGAAAUCUCCGAGCUUAACUUGGAAACUGCCAUGGAUACUAUUUGUCUUGAAUAUCGUGGAGGUGAGCGGAAUACGUCAUGUAGCGGUGAAAUGCUUAGAUAUGACGUGGAACACCAAUUGCGAAGGCAGCUCACUACGCGAUUAUUGACGCUGAUGCACGAAAGCGUGGGUAGCAAACAGG